UGAGGGAAAAAUUGGUAAAAAAAAUGCUAAAAAAAUUUAAAAAACAUUAAGGGCAAUUCUUUGUAACGCAGGGAUGUGGGUGUUAAUUUGUGUGAUAAUGUUGUGAUAAAAUGUUCAAGGUUGUAUAAAUGUUUUCAUAUGACAAAUUUAUGGGUAUAUUUUCAAACGGAAAUAAAUCUCAAUCAUACCCCCGACA